AGAUUGAACGCUGGCGGCAGGCCUAACACAUGCAAGUCGAGCGGCAGCACGGGUACUUGUACCUGGUGGCGAGCGGCGGACGGGUGAGUAAUGCCUAGGAAUCUGCCUGGUAGUGGGGGAUAACGCUCGGAAACGGACGCUAAUACCGCAUACGUCCUACGGGAGAAAGCAGGGGACCUUCGGGCCUUGCGCUAUCAGAUGAGCCUAGGUCGGAUUAGCUAGUUGGUGAGGUAAUGGCUCACCAAGGCGACGAUCCGUAACUGGUCUGAGAGGAUGAUCAGUCACACUGGAACUGAGACACGGUCCAGACUCCUACGGGAGGCAGCAGUGGGGAAUAUUGGACAAUGGGCGAAAGCCUGAUCCAGCCAUGCCGCGUGUGUGAAGAAGGUCUUCGGAUUGUAAAGCAACUUUAAGUUGGAGGAAGGCAGUUACCUAAUACGUAUCUGUUUGACGUUACCGACUAGAAUAAGCACCGGCUAACUCUGUG
rnacentral:rRNA from 1 species